GACGAACGCUGGCGGCGUGCUUAACACAUGCAAGUCGAACGGAAAGGCCCUGCUUUUGUGGGGUGCUCGAGUGGCGAACGGGUGAGUAACACGUGAGUAACCUGCCCUUGACUUUGGGAUAACUUCAGGAAACUGGGGCUAAUACCGGAUAGGAGCUCCUGCUGCAUGGUGGGGGUUGGAAAGUUUCGGCGGUUGGGGAUGGACUCGCGGCUUAUCAGCUUGUUGGUGGGGUAGUGGCUUACCAAGGCUUUGACGGGUAGCCGGCCUGAGAGGGUGACCGGCCACAUUGGGACUGAGAUGCGGCACAGACUCCUACGGGAGGCAGCAGUGGGGAAUGUUGCACAAUGGGCGGAAGCCUGAUGCAGCAACGCAGCGUGCGGGAUGACGGCCUUCGGGUUGUAAACCGCUUUCGCCUGUGACGAAGCGUGAGUGACGGUAAUGGGUAAAGAAGCACCGGCUAACUACGUG
rnacentral:rRNA from 1 species